UUCUUCCGAUAAAUUUUGAUAUCUUGUGGUGCGAUUCACCACGUCCAUCAUAUCAUCAUCGAUACUGGAUGCUGAAGCCAUUUUUCUAUAUGUGUUUGCACUACAGCUUCACUCGUUUCAAUAAAAACUCACAGAUGUUUACACUACAAACGCUGCUGCUAUACACGUUGCAUGCGCUCAAUUCAAUCUGAACGUUCUAUAUAAAGUUUUACAGGCACCACCAAAAAAACUAAUAUUUUUAAUUUUCAAAUCGAAACGGUUUCAUAACAGCUAUUAGAUGAGAAAUAUUAUUUAUUUCGCCGGUAAGAGUUAUAAUACAGCGUUUAUUUUUUACGUUGCUUGAUAACAGUUAUUUUCCAGCUUUUAUUUUUUACUUUGUCUGAUAAGUGUUAUAAGUUAACGAUAUCUAUGAAGAUGGAGAUGAAGUGGAAGGUAAAUAUGAUGAAAACAAAAGUGAGAUAGUGAAAAAACUCUCUUCAAGCAAUGUAAAAAAUAAGUGUUGCGAAAUAACUCUUAUGAGCAACG